ACCGGAUACCGAAACGGACUCUCGGCUCGAUUCUCCAACCACCUUUCGGGCUUAAAUUCGGUACAGUCCUUCCCCCACACGCUCUCCAUCCUCCCCAUCGCGUACGUGUGGUACGUCACGAACCACCCCUUCCCAACCCUAGUUCCGUCCGGCAAUACGUCGUCGUUUAGGCACUCCAUCGUGUCAACCGGCACUGGCGGGUACAACCUCAUCGUCUCCGAAAUCGCCGCUUGCAGGUAGCGCAUCUCCUUCACCUCCUCGUAUCCAAACGCGCCUGCACAUUAUCAAUCCAGAAAAACCAGCUCAGAGCAGACGACGUCGUAUCACGCCCCGCCAGAAUAAAACUUAUCACAACGUCGCGCAGAAACUCCGGUGAGGUAUUCUCUGUUCUGAUGAAACGUGAUAGUAAAUCUUCAUCUCCGAUUUGGUCCUUGGAUUCCAAUCUGGACCGUAUGAUUGAAUCAGCAAAUUGGUGAACGGUGGUGAUUGAUUCUCUGAGCCUCCGUUCUGAUCCAAAGUUGAACAGCUUCUUUAUUUUCCACACAACCGGUAAAAUGCUCAUGAACCUCCCUGAGCUCAGAACCGCGGCGUCCUCGAAGGCGCGCAUGAACUCGCCGCCAGCUGUGCCGUCGCCGCCGAGACAAGCGGGGUCCACAUUGAACGCUAGCUUGCACACGUUAUCGAAGGCGAAGCGCUCCAACAAGUCCUGCAAAUAGGAGUGCUCAAAAAAACUACUUUUGAAAGAAAAAAAAUAAUCAUAAACGAUUAUAUUUAGUUAUACCAAAUUAUAAGUACUUAUACAAAACUAGUUUAUGAUCAUGGUUUUAAAUUAUAGUUGCAAUCAUUAUUGAGACCGUAACAUCAAGUAUUUUGACA